GAUGAACGCUGGCGGCGUGCCUAAUACAUGCAAGUCGAGCGAACGGACGAGAAGCUUGCUUCUCUGAUGUUAGCGGCGGACGGGUGAGUAACACGUGGAUAACCUACCUAUAAGACUGGGAUAACUUCGGGAAACCGGAGCUAAUACCGGAUAAUAUUUUGAACCGCAUGGUUCAAAAGUGAAAGACGGUCUUGCUGUCACUUAUAGAUGGAUCCGCGCUGCAUUAGCUAGUUGGUAAGGUAACGGCUUACCAAGGCAACGAUGCAUAGCCGACCUGAGAGGGUGAUCGGCCACACUGGAACUGAGACACGGUCCAGACUCCUACGGGAGGCAGCAGUAGGGAAUCUUCCGCAAUGGGCGAAAGCCUGACGGAGCAACGCCGCGUGAGUGAUGAAGGUCUUCGGAUCGUAAAACUCUGUUAUUAGGGAAGAACAUAUGUGUAAGUAACUGUGCACAUCUUGACGGUACCUAAUCAGAAAGCCACGGCUAACUACGUGCCAGCAGCCGCGGUAAUACGUAGGUGGCAAGCGUUAUCCGGAAUUAUUGGGCGUAAAGCGCGCGUAGGCGGUUUUUUAAGUCUGAUGUGAAAGCCCACGGCUCAACCGUGGAGGGUCAUUGGAAACUGGAAAACUUGAGUGCAGAAGAGGAAAGUGGAAUUCCAUGUGUAGCGGUGAAAUGCGCAGAGAUAUGGAGGAACACCAGUGGCGAAGGCGACUUUCUGGUCUGUAACUGACGCUGAUGUGCGAAAGCGUGGGGAUCAAACAGGAUUAGAUACCCUGGUAGUCCACGCCGUAAACGAUGAGUGCUAAGUGUUAGGGGGUUUCCGCCCCUUAGUGCUGCAGCUAACGCAUUAAGCACUCCGCCUGGGGAGUACGACCGCAAGGUUGAAACUCAAAGGAAUUGACGGGGACCCGCACAAGCGGUGGAGCAUGUGGUUUAAUUCGAAGCAACGCGAAGAACCUUACCAAAUCUUGACAUCCUUUGACAACUCUAGAGAUAGAGCCUUCCCCUUCGGGGGGGCAAAGUGACAGGUGGUGCAUGGUUGUCAUCAGCUCGUGUCGUGAGAUGUUGGGUUAAGUCCCGCAACGAGCGCAACCCUUAAGCUUAGUUGCCAUCAUUAAGUUGGGCACUCUAAGUUGACUGCCGGUGACAAACCGGAGGAAGGUGGGGAUGACGUCAAAUCAUCAUGCCCCUUAUGAUUUGGGCUACACACGUGCUACAAUGGACAAUACAAAGGACAGCGAAACCGCGAGGUCAAGCAAAUCCCAUAAAGUUGUUCUCAGUUCGGAUUGUAGUCUGCAACUCGACUACAUGAAGCUGGAAUCGCUAGUAAUCGUAGAUCAGCAUGCUGCGGUGAAUACGUUCCCGGGUCU
rnacentral:rRNA from 1 species